UAAGAUACAACCGUUUGUUUACAACGUAACACUCGCCGAACGAACGGACAGAUUAUUAUAUUGAUCAAUUUUAUCGGCCACGGUUUAGGGUAACAAAAAUGAAGAAUGGACCAAUGCGCACGCACUUAAACUCGCUCUAUUAAUUCGACACGGAUCUAACUAAAUUUGAUGAUUUUUAUAUCUAUAUUUAUUCGAAAUGAAAUGUUUAAGAUUACAGUAGCAACACAAUAAUAAUAACAAUAUCGGUUUCGUAACGGCGAUUUUUUCCCGCUGAAAAUACUUUUUUGGGUAAACUAAUACCGUC